UAUAAACUUUAGGGGUGUCCGGGCUGGCCGGACUGAGAUAAUACCCUUUGAACCUGCUCCGGCUGAUACCGGCGAAGGGAAAAGUAUCGGUGCGCAG
rnacentral:ncRNA from 1 species